CUUCAGCGAACCGAGCAGCAGCGGCCGUUCCGGAUCGCGGUCCUGGCCGUAGGUGGCCAGCAGCGCCUGCGCCUC
rfam:Nocardia asteroides NBRC 15531 DNA, contig: NCAST33.